rnacentral:lncRNA from 10 species
ACUCCGGUACAAGUCAUAACCAUAUCCAGAUCUGGUUUGUAUAGGUGACUGAGAUAACCUCAGCCUCAUCUCAGGAAGUGGCCACUUUUGGAGAGUCCGACUAUCACGGUAGGCACAGAACUCUGCCAUGUCACUAGCUGAAUGACCUCGGAUGUCACUUCAACUCUGAGCCUUAGAACUUGUCAACUGCAAAGUGGGGCACUUCACCGAGCUACAUCAUUGAGCUACUUCACUGAGCUACUUCAUUGAAUUGGGAAAAUUAAAGGAGCAAAUAUGGGAGAAGGAUUUGGCCCAUAGUAAACACUAUGACUGUCCGUCUUCUGCCAUCUUUCAGUAGACCCAGUGGAAUUAUAUGAAGGUUGAUAGGCACUUAAACCAAGAAUAUAUGAACAUCUAUUCUGUGCAAGAUGUGUGCAUUGAACUCAGUCCAGGACUGAAGGGGACAGGAGGAAGUGCAGCCCUGGCCAGAGAGGGCAGAAGCCAUUUAUUGUGGAUGCAAAGCUGUGACUAUGGCUGCCUGAACAGUGUGAUAUAUGUUCUCUAUCUCUGCUUUUAUAAGGCAGCUGUUUCUCGGAGGAUCAAGCUCAGGUAUCGGCAGUGUGAAUU